rnacentral:rRNA from 1 species
UAAGGAAUAUUGGACAAUGCCCGCAAGGGUGAUCCAGCCAUGCCGCGUGCAGGAAGACGGCCCUAUGGGUUGUAAACUGCUUUUGUACCGGAGAAAACCCCCCAAUGCGUUGGGGGCUGAUAGUAUGGUAAGAAUAAGCAUCGGCUAACUUCGUGCCAGCAGCCGCGGUAAGACGAAGGAUGCAAGCGUUAUCCGGAUUCAUUGGGUUUAAAGGGAGCGUAGGCGGCCUGGUAAGUCAGUGGUGAAAUCUCCUCGCUUAACGAGGAAACUGCCAUUGAUACUGUCGGGCUUGAGUACAGAUGCUGUGGGCGGAAUAUGACAUGUAGUGGUGAAAUACUUAGAGAUGUCAUAGAACACCGAUUGCGAAGGCAGCUCACAAAACUGUAACUGACGCUGAGGCUCGAAAGUGUGGGGAUCAAACAGG